AGCUGCCCCCAGCCCCCAAGAGAAAAACCUUCAUUAAAGAAGUACUUAACAAACAAGGAUGAAACCAUAUUUUCUGCUUCACAGAAUCUACAUAUGAUGAUCUCCAAGUUCUUAAAAUAAUUUUUAUUUACCAGCUGAUAUGUAUUGGAUAGACUACUAGAGCCGUAAGCACUAUCGUAUAAUUAAAAACCCACCUAAUCCUGCAUGAAGAAAUCCUAGUUGGCAGAUGCAUUACAGAAAUCCCGCUGAGACACAGCGGUGGCUAUGCAGACAAUUAGUUAUCUAUGCUAUCCAAGUAUUUA
ensembl:lncRNA